CAACUAUAUAUACAACACAAAAGAGACAAACAUUCUCUCUCUCAAAAAUACCAAAAAGACCAAAUACCCGAACACAUUUAUAACUCCUAGCUAAAACCGAUAUUGCACUCUUGGUAGCUAAAGAGACCGUUGAUCUGACCUGUCAGACAGAUCUGUCUGACAGGUCAGAUCAGACGGUAGAGGAUCAGAUCUCACAGGUCGUAAGGAGCACGAGGGCUCCGGGUUCCAAUCCCGCUUGCCUUCUCGAAAGCGUCCGAUGCAGACUUCCUACGAAACCUAAAUGCCUCUGAUCUGCCUCCUGACCAUCCACCAUUUUCAUUAGCUCACAUAUUAUCAAAUAUUAAUGCAACCAUGCAAUCUAUCAAACACUCUUAUAGUUUUCAUACAAUAAUUUUAAAUUAUUCUUCAUCAAAUCUUUUUUCUUUCAUGCAUCACAUAUUAAUUAUUCUUGAGCGAAUAGAACUAAACACUAAUUAGAUUAUAAAUUCUUUCCCUAUUUGCCCAAUUAUGGUAUAUUUAAUCAACUUACUAAAUCAAUUUUCGUCUUGUAGGGUUUGUGAAUUAUUUAAUAUUUAUGUUCACUAUAGUGGACAAUAAUUCCAAUUAUUAUUAACAAUGUCAUUUUCAUGGUGGUAGAUGGGAGAUAAAUUUAUAAUUGCAAUUUGCAAAGAAAGAGACAAAUAUGCAUCAGUGUUUUCCAACAUCCUACUAGAAAUAGUCAAAUGCAGUUGUAAUUACUAAAUUACCCUUGCUCCAAUUACCCAGGAUCAUUCUAGAUCACUGCAGCUGGAAGGUCUAUCUCAGGUAAAAUGAUAAAAACGUACUUCUUACCAGGGAAAGGAGAUACCGGAGUUGUAGAUCCGGCGGGAGAUGCCGGCGGUGUGUCGCUCAGAGUUCUUUCAGGUUUUACGAUCAUUAUACUUCGUGUUACUCUCAUCGCAGGAUCCUCUACUGCCGUAUUCGUCACCGGCGGCGAUUCUGCUUCAGAGAGAGUAAAUGAAUUCGUUCAGUUUGAGUACAGACGAUUACACUUUUGGAUUCAAAUCUUUUGUGAAAAAAAUUAGUUUUUUUGGUUUGAUACACAUAAUCUCCGACGUAAACCCUAGGUUUCAGGAUCUCGAUUUAUCCAUAAUAAUACUUCAAAACUUUGGCCACUGAUCAGUAUCAGAAUUUAUCAUACAAUAAGAAAAGGAAUCAAUUAAAUAAUACUAUAAGUAUUUGAUUAAUUAUAAUUAAAGCAAAAUUCGCGCCAAAAUAAAACCUGAUGAUCACAAUAAGCGAUUGAGAUCAAGAGGACUUUAACUAUUAAGAUAACGGAAUUUUCUAAGUAAAAGGUUAUAAUAAUUAUAUGUGUUAACAUAUUCUUUAACAAAUUGUACAGUUCAAAAGCGGCAGGUAACAGCGUACCCUUGCCGGAAUCCGAUGACCGGAAACUAAAAGUAGACUGUUUUCGCAGCUUUCCGAGGCCCUUAUCCGGCCGAGGUCCGGCGACUGUGUCAUCCCAGAGUUGGUCGAGUAAACUCAUAGCAAGAAGAUGAAUAGAUGAUCUAACAAACACUCGUAAACCCCUCCGAUGAAGAUUGAGUGGUUUCAGAGAGUGGCUAUGGUGGUAUUUAUUGACGAACAUGGAUUAAACGUCGAAUAAGUCGUUUAUACUGGUAUUUGAUCGUGGCCGUUGAUUUUGGAUACGGUAUACCUUUAUACGCGUAAAGAUAAGAUCAGUGUCAAAAAUUAGAUGAGAUUGCCACGUGACAGGUCUAUUUAGUAGAGGUAAAAGGUCACGAGGGCCCUUUACUUUAUUCAUUUUGAAUGGGCAUUGCCCUUGAUUUAUGUGAAAAUUACGAGAAUGGGACUGAUGGUCUGGCCGCCAUUGCAGUGUUGACACGUAUAAAUCACUUUUGGGGAUGUUAAUGUGGGUACCCUUGUACGUUGGUUAAAUUUUCAACAAUGCCCUUAAGGUCUUGGUAAUCACAAAUAGGCACCCAAUAAAGUUAUACAUGUAAUUGGAUGGGGUUGGAUAAAUCAAGGGCACCCAAUAAAGUUAUACAUGUAAUUUUCAACAAUGCCUUAAGUACUUCUCUUAAUUUGUUCAUUCGAGUGUGAUAAUAUAAAACACAACUUCCGUAAACAACUUCUAAAGGGAAGCAAACAAGGUAUUGGAUCAUCAAAAGUGUCCGUUGUCGAAGAGCACGAAAAGUGAAAUUGCUAAAUAAUUUUUAGGGUUAGGUGUGUUUAUACCAAAGAUAAGAUAUACAUUUGUAAGGGUCAAAAUAUUGUAAAAGUGGAAGUGUAUGUUUUGUAUUUCGUAUGUAUUUACUAAGGCACUUGUUUAAUCGAAACGUAAUGUUGAGUCCUUAGUAUUUUUUGUACUUUCAGUAUCCUAUAAAUAGGGUCUAAACUUGAGUGUAAGUAAGAGGGUUUUCCCACUUCUGUUAUCUGUUUUGUACUCAAGUUCAUUGAAAGUAAUAGAAGCUGAAACCAGAUCAUAUUUACAUCGUAUGUUCUUUACUUGAUCAUUACUUAAAUUACUCUGAUUUACAUUUGAUUACUCAUUUCAAUUCAUCUACAAUUGGUACCAGAGCAGGAAUCAACCUGCAAUGAUCUGAUUUUCUUUUGAAUCGUUUGUUUUUUAGUCAAAAUUUUGUCUCAAAAGAUUCCGCACAUUUCGAUUCUGAAAAUCGUCUUAGAUCUACAGUUUUGGUUAGAUUCUGUGUUCGAAUUGUAUAAUCGAGUGAUCGAUUUCUGUAACGCCCGUAGAUCCUGGCUAGUCAAUUUAGAAACGAUAAACAUUAAAAAUGACUUUUUUAUGGAAUAUUAUUUAUAAGGAGUAAUCUUAACUAAGUUGUACUAUAUGUUACAAGGAUUCCGUACAUAUAAAGAACGCCGAAAUCCGAGUUAUAACAAAGAAGUUAUGACCUGACGAAGUUUCGCGACAGAACCGGCACGACACAACGCGACGUAAAUAGUGAAUUUAUGUUAGAGCGACAUUUAGCCUUAGUGAUCUAAACGAAAAUUGUAGAAUACGUUAAAACGAGAGCGUGCAUAAAAAGAAUGUCUAAAUCUGACUUCGUAUGUGGAAGUUAUGAUUUUUCUAAGUUUCGACUUAGCGGUAUGCAGCCCGAAGUUCGGAUUUGAGAUCGAGGGAUUUCUACCCAAAACAAGCUAAACAAGAAUCGAAGAUCUCGUCGAUAGUAGUCCAACGGUAGAAAGACAGACGAAAACAGACGUCAGAUGAAGAAGUUAUGAUUUUCUAACGGAGUUUUCCAGUCCCGACCUACUAAAAAUAAUAUAAUAAAAAUAAAACUCAAAAUUAGCCAACAGAGUCUAAACGAAAGUUGUAGAGCAUAAUCUCACCUACACGUGGAUAUAAAGAACGUCGAAAACGAAGAUCGUAUGCGAAAGUUAUGAUUUUCUGAAGUUCGAGGCAUGCAUCCCAAAGAGGGAACGCCCCGCGUUCAGUACAUGGCUCCGGAUUGGCCACGUCGAUGCUGACUCAGCGGAUAAGGGAUAGGAUCAGAACCCCACUCCUACGCGCUGCAUUCGUGUGGAACGCACUGCAUCGGGGAACACCAUGCGUUCCCAGAAGGAACGCAUUGCGUUCGAGGCCGACUUCAGCACUAUAAAUAGAUCGCUUGGGCAGCCGAGAUUUGUUGCUCAUUUCUUCUCUCACUCCUUAUUGCAUCGUUUUGCGUGCAAUUUAUAUCCCCGAAGCCCCGGUAUCAUCCCGACACCUGAAGCAAGUCUCGAAGCCCCGAGAAUCCCGAGAAGUAAAGUUUUCGAGUCGAAACUCUGCCCGCGUAAAGCCCGGUUUUGGAGAAAACGUCCCAGUUUUAUCGGAAAUGAUUAUUUUAAGAAACGAGGUGCUGUCUGAUCAUCAUCUUAUCAAGUGAGUGUGUAGUUACUUUCUUCUAACCCAUAAAUAUGAAGUAUUUGCUAUGAAAUACAUGCUAUGUGUUAUGUAUUGUUUGUUUAUUUGAGAUGGGUGUGGAAAGGAUGUUUUAUACAGGUUUUAAUAAUUUAAACCGUAUAUGUAUUUUAUAUCUACAAAUAUGUUGGGUAGAACAUGGGUAGAUGAAAUAUUUGGUGACUAUAUGACGUAGCGCCAGCUAAGUGAACCUUGGUGACUAUGGAGUUAGCGCCAGUUAAGUGAGCCUUGGUGACUAUGGAGUUAGCGCCAGUUAAGUGAGCCUUGGUGACUAUGGAGUUAGCGCCAAUUGACUGAACCUUGGUGACUAUGGAGUUAGCGCCUGUUAAGUGAACCUUGGUGACUAUGGAGUUAUCGCCUAAUAGCUAUGGAUUUAGUACCUGAUAGAUAAACUUUGGCAGCAAUGGACUUUGUGUCAAUUCCUUAGGUCAAUCCUUAGGAACGAAUGAAUGAAGGAUAAUUGACUCUUAGGGUAACGCUUUAAGAAACAGAAAGAUAUAAUGGGGAUGGGUAAUUUGGGUUGAUUGUCUGAUGAUUAAAUAUAAUAUAAUAUAUUACUGUGGGUUGAAAACCCUAUAUGCUCACCAGGCUCCCAAGCCUGACCCACUCAGUUUUCUUUGCAUUACAAGUAAUGACACAAGAGUAUAAGUUGGUGUACUUGACGAGAGAUUUUGGAUUAUAAAUCAGUAGUUAUAAAUAACUAUUUUAAGGUCUAUUUUAUAUUGUUUAUGCUUUUGGUCUGUAUCGGAACAUGACAUCCCGAGAUUUUGUUAUUUAAUGAAAAUACAUUUCUUUAAAGAAAUGCUUUGAUAAAUUCUCAUCAUAUUUUGUUUUGGGAACAAAUUCCGCAACUCUUUUAAUCAAAGAUUACUCUGAUUUUGUAAAACAAAGCAUAAACAAAUCGGUCUUUAAUGGUCGUGAAAAUUGGGGAUGUCACAAUUUCAAGUUUCUGAUCAAUUUUCAAGUUUCUCAAGAUUUCUGAAAAUUCUCAUCCGUACAACAAUGUCGAACUUCAACAUGAACACGAUGACAUCGUAUUCUCAUCUGCUUGGAUCAUAAAAAAAAAUUCCAAUGUUGAUUCCAGAUUACUACGAUCAAUGAACGGAUCGUAUGGAAGACUAUCUCAAUGGAUUGGAUGAAGAGUUGUGGAAUUGUAUCAAAUGAAGUGUUCAACCACCACCAAAUUCUCAAAAUUUAGGAUCAUCUGGAUCAACUUCUGUAGUAGAAGAACAAUCAACAAGGCUGAAAAACAAUGAGAAGCGUUGUAUGAGAGAGCUGAGAGGUGCUUUGCCACCUAUUGUUUACAACUACAUCCGUGGUUGUAAAACUGCAAAAAGAUAUCUGAAAUACUCUUAAGGAAAAGUAUUAGGGAAGCGCGAAAACGAAGAUUAAUUCAGUUAAGCAGUGUCUUGUGGAACUGAAGGAGUUCAGACAAAAAGAGAAUGAAACGAUUGAGGUUUACUAUGAUCGUUUUAAUGAAUUAAUCUAUCGAUACAAUCGUUAUGGAAUCACAAGGUCAUCUAUGGAGUUCAAUCUCACUUUUGUGAUGGGACUUCGUAAGGAGUGGAGAAGUGUAAGCAUGAUGGUGAAGAAUCAACAAAGCUUCGAUACUUCAUCGUUGAAUGAUGUGGUCCUUUAGCUCUAGUUUCGAAAAUGUAUGAGAAGGAAGAAGAAGAGAAAGAUGAUUCUGAUGAAGAAGGUUUUAUGAUAAAUUCUGAUGAUGAAGCGAUAACAUAUUACUCGAACAACCGAGUGAAGAAGUUUUUCAAGAAACCGUUUAAUCCGAAGGUGAAGCAGAGUGAAGUAAAGGGAAACUUUGUGAGCAAGUCUGGUGCUAAGGAAAAGAAAAAGUUUGAGAAAAAUGAUGAGAAAGCAAAAGAGUCGGAGAAUGAAAAGAAGCUUAAGGGAGACUCAUGUGUUGAUUGUCAUUAAUCUAAUGGAGCAAAUCAUUUAGAAAAUGAUUGUAUGCUUCUUAAGAAGGAUGAUAGGAAGAAUAAAGUCAAGGACGAAGCUUAUUAUGUGGAAAAGCUGGAGGAAGUUCGUGCAAAAGCUAAAGGACCGUCUUUGGUUGCACGAGGAGAGGCUGAAGAGGAUGGGACAUAUCAAAUCUGGUCCUCGGGUUCUGAUGAUGAAGAAAUGCGAAAUCCAACUCAUGGAGCUAUGUUUGCAUAGUUUGAGGAGGACAAGAAUGAAAAGGUGACUGGUUAUUGUUUCAUGACUAAAUCUGGAGACAAAUCACCAAUGACUACAAAGGUACGUUCUAUUCUUCAAUCUUUUAAUAUUCCUCUACAAGCUUAUGAUUCUGAGAUAGUUGCAUUUGAUGAUACUGUUGCUUAUUUCGAUACUAUUGUUGUGUCAGCUAGUAACAAAGCCAAGAAAUUAAGUACUCAACUGCUAGAGACCCAAAAACUUCUAGAUUCGAAACGUAGCAGGGUAGAGUAUUUAGAAUUGCAAAUAAAAAUGUCAAUAAUGAUAGAGAGAAUUUGGAUAGAGAUGUAAGGAUGUUGCUUGCACAAAGAAACAUAUAUUGUAAUUCGGCUAAACGUCUCUAUGCUAAAUUGACUGCAUUACGAUAUUAGUAAAGAAAAACAUAAGAAAUUAUUACCUUUUCUUACUUUUGAGAAAGAGAGAGAGAAGGUUGAUAUUUUGUACUAUGAUUGUGAAGAAACCAUAACAGACUUUAACAAAGAACCUGAUGAUAGAUUUGCUUAUGGUAUUGUUAAGAUAGAUGAAUUUCUGAAUGCUGAUGAACUUGUUGAGAUUGUGAAUGAAAGUUUGACAAAAAGUGAACAAAUCAAAAUUUUGAAAAGAACUGAGAAUUCGAAACUUGACUCUCAAUCUAAUUUUGCUGAUAUCGAAGAUAAUUUUGAUUGUUUUAGCGAAAUCAGUGAAUUUGAGGAGGAGGAAAGUGUCGAUUGUUCUCAGUUAUCAAUCAUUAAUGUCACAUCUAAGUCAAAAGGUAAAGAAAUUUAUAAUUAUUCGAUGGUUGAGAAUGACACUGAUAAACCCUCUACUUCAAAAGUCUAUGAUUUUGAUGAUGUGGAUGUAAGAGACAGUCAAACUGAUGAUAGUGAAGACGAGAAUGAAGAAGAUAUGUCGAACAAUUUUGAAAAAGAAAAGAAUGUUUCUAACUUAAUAAAAAUUCCAUGAAUUAUUGUUGAUCAAGUGUUUGGAGACACUGAAAAUUUCGACAGUGUUAUCUGACAAAGGUGCUCACUAUUUGGAAACCAACGCAGUGGUUUAUUCGAAUUUCAAGUGCACAGAUGAUGUAGUAUUUCCAAAUCAAGUGUUUGUCACUACUGGGAAUGUGGAAAAUAUGAAACGUGAAUUCAACAAAUUGGUUGAAGAAGAUAGCAAGAAAACAUCAAACGAAGGAUUCUUUUCAAAUCAAAGCACUGUCGAAAAUAAUCUAACAAAAAAUUCGUAUGUUUUUCAAAGACAAAAACCACAACGAAAAUGCGUUGAAAACGAGAAGUUACAAAAGAAAUUUUGAAACAAGAACCAAGUGAAACAAAUGAGAAUGUGAAACUUAAUUCACAAGAAUUUAAAGAUCUUGUUGACAAAUUUUUGAAAGAAAAAGGAAUUUCAAAAAGAUAGGCGAGACAGAGAAUGUUGUGGCAUAUUGUGACAAAUGAAAAGCAAUUAAAUGAACCAACAAAGAAAAUGUCUCAGAAUAAGUUGACUAAAACUGUUCAGUCAAGGUUUUCAACUUAUUUAGACAAAAAGAAAAAUCCCGCUCCAUCGAUUCCGUAUGAAUAUCCAAAGUCAAAUUCAAAAAAUUUUCCAACGGAGUUUUCAAAAUCCUCAUCACCAAAGAUUUUUCAAACAAAUAAUUCUCAAAAGCAUUCUUAUUCAAACAUUCAUCAAAAAUUUUCAAAUUCACAUUCAUCUUUCACAAAAUCAACAAAUGUAAAAAACAGAUUUUUUUCAAAAAGGACAAAUCAAAAGUUUGAGAAUAUUUGAAAAUAUGAGAAUGUUCGAAAAUUUGAAAAUCUUAGAAAAUUUGAAAAUGUUUGAAAAUUUGAAAACAAUCAAAAAUUUGUAAAAGAAAUUUCCAAGAGAACUUUAAAGUUUAUUACACAAAAGCCAAAUUUUCCAAAUCCGUUUGCACAAAAAGAGACCAAUGUUUCAUAUACAAAAGGUAAAUCUAAAGUGGAAACCAUAAAUCAUUGGCUUGAAAACAAUGGGAAAAAGUAUCAAUUUGGGAAGUUUUCGCAACAUCAAUUGAAAAAGGCCUAUGAACAGUAUUUGAAUGAUACUUCAGUUGGAAGUUCAUCUUCGAAAGAGUCAAAUACUCUAGUUCAAAGAUGGCAACCAAUCUCACAAGAAAAACAAUUAACGAAACAUGAGAAGAAAGUUGGUGAAAGUCCAAAACUAUCGAAAAAUUAUAUUUCGAUAUCUUUAACUGAUGAUGUUAACUUAAUUGAUUCUUUCAAAACUAAAGUUCGAAGCUGGGCUUUAAAUUCUAAAAUUCAUUCUCUUUUUCAAGCUAAUAACCAAGGACCCAAACAGCCUUGGGUACCUAAAUUCUUUCAAUGAUUGCAGUGCUAUGUGAUGAACAGUAUGAUGAGAAAUGGUAUAUUGAUAGUGGUUGCUCACGCCACAUGACUGGAAGGAAGGAGAAUUUGCGUGGUUUUCGAAGUUUAGAAAAUGCUGGUGUAGUGAAGUUUGGAAAUAAUCAUAAAUGUCAAGUUAAAGGUUAUGGAAAAGUAACGAAUGAUCAAUUUAUAGUGAAUCAUGUUGCUUAUGUGGAAGGUCUUCAACAUAAUUUGAUAAGUGUUUCACAACUUGUUGUGGGCACUUGCAAUCAAGUUGUGUAUAACGAAGAAGGAGGCAUCAUUUCAAAUGUCGAGACAAACAAAUUAUUGUUGAAAUCAAAAAGAUAUGGAGAUAUGUUUACCUCGACAUCAAACCCAUAAUUGGAAAACCAUUAGUUUGUCUACUUUCGAAAGCUCCCACAAAUGUUAGCUGGUUAUGGCAUUGACGUUAUCUCAUUUAAACUUUCGAAAUUUAAAUAAAUUGGUUGCAGAAGAUCUUGUUCGAGGUUUACCUGUUCGAAAUUUAAAUAAAUUGGUUGCAAAAGAUCUUGUUCGAGGUUUACCUGUGUUAAAGUUUGAUAAUGAUACUUUAUGUGCAACUUGUGAACAAGGAAAACAACAUCGUAAAGGGCAUCCAAUUGUCAUUGAUUCGAAAAUUAUUGAACCAUUGGAACUUCCUCAUAUUGACCUUUGUGGACCAUCAACUGUUGAAACUCUCAACAAGAAACGGUACAUUUUGGUUAUUGUUGAUGAUUUUUCAUGAUUUACGUGGGUGUAUUUUCUCAGGUUAAAAUCUGAAGUUGCUCAAACAAUGAUAGAAUUUAUCAAGAAAAUUGAGAUAAGUCUGAAGAAGUAAGUUAGAAAAAUCAAAAGUGAUAAUGGUUCUGAGUUUAAGAACAAAGUGUUGGAUUCGUACUUAACAGAAAAGGAAUUUUGCAUAACUUGUCUGCGCCCUAUACACCUCAACAAAAUGGAGUAGUCGAAAGGAGAAAUAGGUCACUUUGUGAAGUGGCAAGGACGAUGUUGACAUAUGCGAAUCUUCCUCAAUAUUUAUGGGCAGAAGCAAUUUCGAUAGCAUGUUUUACUCAGAAUAGAUCUUUCAUUCAUAAAUGUUUCAAUAUAACUCUGUAUGAAAUAAUCAAUAACCGAAAACCUAAUGUCAAAUUCUUUCAUGUUUUUGGUUGUAGGUGUUUUAUAAUGAAUCUCAAAGAUAAUCUUUCAAAAUUUCAAGCUAAGGCCGAUGAAGGAAUAUUUUUGGGAUAUUCGAACAAUUUGGUUGCAUAGAGAGUGUUAAACAAACGAAGUCGAAAAGUUGAAGAAACGUUUAAUCCCACUUUUGAUGAUUACUACGUGAAACAAGUAGAAAAACAAUUUGAACAAAAACCAAUUCUUAAUGAAUCAACUGAUGAAGCUGAAGAAUCUAGUUCAUCUGACUUUGAUUAUGAUUUAAUUUUUGGUGUUCCGCACAGGGCUGUUGAUGCUGGAGUACAUGCUGCUGAUAAUCAAACUCCUGAAUCUUUGAAACAUACUAAUGAUUCGACAAUCACCUCAGAUUUAACUGUUAAUGGAGAAAGCAUGCUAGAUGCUCAAGUGGAGGGGGAGCACUUGAAUAUACCUUUAACUGUUGAGGGGGAGCAUUCUUCCGAGGGGGAGAAUAACAGUAUGAAUGAACUCUUUGAGGGGGAGCAUCAGAAUGAUAGUCUUGCCGAGGGGGAGCAUGAUGAUACUGAAACCAUAAAUCAUGAUCAAAAUGAUGAAUUUCAUGACCUAAAAUGAUAAUAUUUUUUUUGCAGGAUCCGAAAAUGAAGAGAUGUACGAAGAUGCACCUUUGGACUUUGAUCUAGCAUAUCGACCAUUGGAAAAGUGGACAAGAAAUCAUCCGAAAGAACAAGUCAUUGGAAAUCCACAUGAUGGUGUUUUGACAAGAGCUCAAAUUUGUGCAAAGAAUGAGGUACUGAGUACUCAUCAAGAAUUUUGCAUGUUUAAUGUUUUCAUCUCCAAAAUAGAACCAAAGACAGUUAAGGUUGCAAUGGAGCACUAUGAUUGGGUUGUUGCAAUGAAAUUUGAAUUGGAUGGAUUUGAACGAAACAAGGUUUGUAGAUUAAUUCCUAAACCUAAUGAUGUUUCUAUUGUCGGAUUAAAAUGGAUUUUCAAAAACAAAACCGACAAAGAUGGAAAUAUUAUUCGAAACAAAGCAUGAUUAGUUGUUAAAUGUUAUUCGCAACAAGAAGGUAUCGAUUAUGAAGAAACCUUUGCCCCUGUCGCAAGAUUCAAGGCUGUUCGAAUAUUUUUGGCUUAUGCAGCUCAUAAAGAUUUUGAUGUUUAUCAAAUGGAUGUAAAAUGUGCAUUGCUUAAUGGUGAACUCGAAGAAACGGUGUAUGUAGAACAACCUCCAGGUUUUGUUGACGAAAAACAUCCUGAUCAUGUUUAUAUUUUAGAUAAAGCUGUAUAUGGGUUAAAACAAGCACCAAGAGCAUGGUAUGCAACUCUUACCAGUUUCUUAAAACAAUCGAAAAUUAAACAAGGAUCAGUUAACCCCAGAUUAAUUCAAAAGAAAGUUGGGAAUCAUCUAAUGCUUGUUCAAAUUUAUGUCGAUCAUUAUUUUUGGCUCUACUGAUCCCGCUUUGUCUUGUGAAUUCGAAAGCCUGAUGAAAAGUCAAUUCGAAAUGAGCAUGAUGGGUAAAAUCAAUAAUUUUCUUGGUUUAAACAUUCAUCAAAUCAGAGAAGGAAUUUUCAUCAAUCAAGAAAAAUAUACAAGGAAUUUGCUCGAAAAAUUUGGGAUGAUGAAUAACAUGAAGUUAAGAGUGCCAAUGGCAGUUGGAAAAAGGCUAACACCUUUGUUAGACAAACCUGUUGUUGAUCUUACUUUAUACAGAAGUAUGAUAGGUUCAUUGCUUUAUCUUAUAGCAAGUAGACCUGAUAUCAUGUUUUUCGUAUGUAAUUGUUCUAGGUAUCAAGCAAAUCCAAGAGAACCACACUUGACUGCAGUGAAAAAUAUUUUUCGUUAUCUCAAGGGAACGAUUUCGUUAGGAUUAUGGUUGUUGGGUUUUGAGCAUUCUAACACUUCCUAAGUGUACAUGCAACCCUAAAUACCUUGGAUCUAUGUUUUCUCUAUUAUACAUGCAAAUAAGAACUUCCAAGGUAUUAUCCUAAUCUAGCAUAUAAAACAAUGGAUAUAGUAGGAUAGAAUACAUACCUUUUUGGUGUAGUAAGUCUUCAUGAAGCUUGAGUGCUUAGUGCCCCAAGUGUGACACCUCAAAUGGAAUCACAAUCAUCAAAACACUUGGAAUGACUUGAGAGAAUUCUACACUCAUCAAAAUCGGCUAGCCCUUUCUUCACUAUCUCUAGUGGCCGAUUUUUCCUCAAUAAUAAGAUGCUUAUAUAGUUACACAAUUAGGGUAAACUCUUAAUUGUCAUGGCUUUCCAUUUCCUUGGAUCCAUGGGUACAAAUACACCAUGGAGCAUCCAUGGACCAUCCUAUGGGUUUUAGCCCAACUUGAUUAUCCAUGGAGCAUUAGCCCACUAUACAAGUAUGGAUGAUUUACACAAUCAACCCAUAUAUUUAAUUAGUCUUCUUUUGAUCACUUAAUUAAUCCUAGAUUAAUUCUUGAUCAAUACUAAUUAAAUAAUCUUAUUAUUCUUAUUAUUAAUAUACUAGAACUUAUAAUAUAUUAAUAACCAUAAGUGUCUUAUUUCUCUCAUUAUAGUCUAUCCAAGUGCAUGAUGGUAUGCAACCCAAAUGGACCAUGCCGGGUCGGGUCAAGUCUUACCAAUUAUAGUUAUGGACUUAGACAUUAAUCCAACAGUCUCCCACUUGGAUAAGUCUAAAACUAUUAUUGCGUAUGACUUCAGGAACCAACUGGCAAUCGUAGCUCUCAAAAGCUUCUGUCGAACUCUGACCUUGUAGAUGAACUCUGACCUUUGUCAAUGACUUGUCCAUUAGAUAAGGGAUCAUAUAUUCCUCCAUUCUAGAUAUCAUAUGGACUGAGACAUGGAUUAUAAUCAUUCUCUCUGUCCAUUUGUUGUUUCCCGAUUUCCGAUUUAUGACGACUGACUAAUUGAACAAAUCAAAUCAGUCCUGGCCCGGCCGAGCACUUCCAUUUGUCAUCAUCAAAUCAUCGAGGGGCCCACAGAUAUCGCUUUUAUCCCGAAGGUAAAAGGAAUGGAUAAACUUCGACUCAUAUGGCUUGUUCUACUACUUGUUGAAUCAUACACAAAGGCACGUUUUAUAGCACCGAGUUACCAAAUGCGUUUUCGUGCAAUCAAUGUACUAUCAACUCAUAGUAACAACUCAUAUCUCUAGGUUUGAAGAAUAUAAGAUAUUAUCGUCUCAUGAUCACUCGUGAUAAAAUCCAUGAAGUGAUUCCAAUGAGCGCGGGUUGAAUCCAAUACUCAGAACUUAUGAGCACUCAUGAGUGUUGUAGCCCUUUGUCCAACACCUUAGACCUCUACAAGCCAACCCAUGACAGUCUUAAUUCAUAUCUACUUCCAACAUAUGACCGACUGUGGAUGGUUUGAAUAACUUAGUCAUUCCGGAAGAAUAACCCAGUUUAUUCGGGAAGUCAAAACAUGCAAAAUGAAACACAAUAAUAAUUGAAUCCAAUAUGGUAUCAACCCUUUGAACAUAAAUAAAACACCUUUUAUUUAUCACCAUAUGAUUACACAUUAUUCAUUGUAUACUGUUUCAGCUAUCAACUUUAUUCUUGAAUUUAAAACAAUAGUUGUCCCAUGCUCCAAGCAUGUACACUAUGUUUUCUUAAACACUAGUCAUGCCACACACCAAGUAUGCAUACUAUGUUUGUCUAUGAUCUUUACUUUGUGAACUAGAUCAAUUGAACAUAACUUCAAUGAUUCUCUUUUCACACUCCCAAAUCCUUACUGCAAAUGCAAGAAUUCCAAAUUCAUGCCAUUUACUGAAAUCUGUUAGAUUCUAAACUUAUAUGCAUUGAUCCUCUUGUAAUGAUUAUGCACAAAGUCACAAAGACUUGGCAACAAUCAUUACAGAGUAUUCCAAAGGAGAUCAACUCCUUGGAAAUAUCCUUCUUGCAUUAAGUUUCCUUAAUCUUACACAGAUUGAAAAUUCUAACUUUGAAACAUUUCCAGAUUCCAUUUUGACUAUCACUUCUGAACAAGAGUUGCCUCCUUACAGAUUAUGUCAAUAUGGUCCUUCCAGAAUUAUCACUAUACUUCCAAUUGUCCUUGAGUAACCAAUCUUUGGUAAACCUUAGAUUGUCCUCGACAAUUGUUUAAUCCUUUUAGUCAUAUCCAGUUCUAAACCUUUUCCCUUCUUAAUGCCCCAGGCAUUUGGAAAAUUUUAGAACGGAUGAAUAUAGCACAUGUAAUCGAUCCUAUAUCCGAAGCAUAUGGGACACGAUUCAUGAUGUCUUACAUAAAGACUAAACCAGUCUUUUGCUAUAAUAUUUCCAUUUCAAUUUGCCAAGUUCUCAUAAUUCAGAUUAUGAAAAGGGAUGCCGUAAUCAUAAUCGAAUUUUAGAACGCAAAUAAUGGACCCAUAUACAGAAUUUCCUUAUGUUGAGCCAUUCCAACAUGAAAUUCAUAUAUAUCCUUGACUAAAUGAUUAAAACCUCACGAUCUAAGCUUAUAGAUUUGAGAUGAAGCAUAAUUUCCUCUCCCUUAAUUAUAGCAAAACAACUUUUUCCCAAUUGAAACUUUUGUUUUCUAUAAUUAACAUUGCUAACUUGCAAUACUUAUCAUAAUUAUCAUGCUCCCACUAACAUGAUGAUUAUUAGCAUAACACUUAUGCUCCCACUAGCUUUGACAUGUACUCAGAAAUCAGCUGGACAGUCUGAAAUUUAGAUUCAUACACCCUUUCCGUAGAUAGCUCACCUGUGUGUCUAAGCAAUUUCAAGAACCAUGAAAAGGGAUACCGUAAUCAUGGUCUCAAUUGCUUAGGCAUUUGCCAUUUCUCACAAGUCCAUGUUAGUGUGCCGGUUAACCACACGCGCUCCACUAACGACUUUUGAAAAUGCAAAUAACACAAUUGAUAUCUUCGUAAAAUCUACUUAGUGAAAGCGUUUCCUCACCAUCAUUUUCAUGAAUCGGAGAGAAACCUUAUGACACUUAGAUUUAUAUGGUGUAUGAGUUCCUACCCAUAUGAAUUUGUCAAACCAUAAUCACAAGACAAAGAUAAUGACAAAUCCAAAACCAUAUGGAUUGAACUCAAUCUUAACUUCUUGCCACCUGGCAGCUCAAGGGCCUGCCAUUGCUUCCAAGUUGUUAUGCAACAAACUGAGAACUCUAAGAACUCAUAUGCAAAGCCAACUUUAACUGGAAUGGGCACAGAUAUGUCAACACGAUAGGUUAUAAACCUCAAGUCGUGUGCUAGUGAAGAACUUUAGGUUUUAUUCUUGAUUAUUUCUUGAGACUUUCAAGACCUUUAAGACUCCCACUGUCCUCUUGACAUAUAAGACUCCCUUGUCAAACAUCCAAGAGAUAGUGCGGAUUCUAAUCAAGAAAAACACUUUACCCAAUUGGCCUAAGUUGGUCUUUGUUUUAUCCAAAACAUCACAACUUACCAAUUUCAAAUGUACAAGAGUAGAAAACUUUUACUCUUACAUUUGACAAGUGUUUUAAACCUUCUUUAAGACAUGUCACUCAAAUGACAAUCUUGGAGUAUGACUCUAAGACUUGUAUUGGAACGAAGUAUGACUCAUCUUCUUGAUUUAACCAUUUCAACAAUUCAAGUUCCUCUUCUUAGUCAUAAGAAUGCACUAAGAUUUCCUUAGAGAACUAAUUUUGAUAUGGUUUCUUAAUCAUUAAGAUGAUCACAAAACUGAUACUAAAGUACUCUCCCAUCUUUUCAGAUUUGAGAAACUUUUAUCCUUCUGCCUUAUUUGAUUCUUCUUAUCGAUCUUUAGUGGUGGACUUAAUCAGUGCACAAGAAUGUGUACUCGAUCCCUUAGUCCUUUACUUGACUCACACAUCCAUGUGAACAAGUAAUUAGUCUUAAUUUUCCAAAACUUGAAAGUUCUCAUUCAUCAUGCUAUACAACUUGCAUGAUUCCAAGUUCCGGUCCAAUUGAAACUUGGGUGAUGAGAAUCUUUCCUUAUUUGGUAAAUCUAGACAUUACCACAAAUGAAAGAAUCAAUUUCAUAUUUCCACUCUUGCUCUUAAUGGAAUCAUAUAAGCAACAAUUUUUCCUCAAAAGCCAUUGUAAGGAUAUUUUAAAAUAAAUAAAAUCAAAAAAAUUUUCUUUUAUUUUAAAACUUUGCGGAAAAACUUAUCCUUACAAUCCAUAUGAAAACUUGUUGUUAUCUAUUCCUAAGCAAUAUCUCAUAACUCCUAAGAAGUAGCUCAAGAAUCCGAUCUUCAAACUAUGCGAUAGAAAUCCAUCUACGCCAUCAGAUUCAGCAUAUUCUUUCUUUAAGUUUCUUCACUUUUCUUUGAUUCUUAAAACAUCACCAUGUGACCCAGUCACAUCAUGUAUCAAGAAUCUCAGAAUAGAAACUUAACAGAGUUAGAUAGUGGACUUUACCUGAAGUAGAGUCAAACUUAUUGACUUUAACAUCCUUAGGUAAAUUUGGCAGCUUCGCAACCAAUGCCCCUUCCUUUGGCAAUAUAAACAUAUGGACCCUUUGAUAAUGGUACACGGGACUAUCACAGACUUAGCUUUUCUCUUUACCAUUUGGUCAACCGAGUUGACUAUGGCCGAUCCCUUUCCAUUGGGAAGAGAAUGCUUUACUGGAUAUCCAAUGUCAUCAUUGUCAAUGUCCAUAAAGUUUUAGGAAGUUGAUCUUAGCAAAUAGAUAAGAUCAUUAAGGGUCUUGUCAUAGUCUGUUUCAUAGGUGUCCCAAAGGAACUCACUAUGUGACUUAGAAAGUGGUUGAACCACCAACUUUCUCAAGACUUUGACACCCAACUCUCCCGGCUUGUCAAUAUGUGACUACAUCUCCAAGAUGUGACCACACCUAGACCUUGCCUUGCUAAUAGGGCCUGAGUGACCUUAAACUUUUCAAGAACUUGUGGGUUAGGGAGAAUAAUUUGAAGAGGUGAAGAAGUAUGAUAUCCAUGGGACAUCAUCUUCAUUAGGAAACCUUGUUUCAAGAGAUUUGGGAAGAUCAUAGGUGUCUAAACCAGACAUCUUUUGGGAGAUAUUCAAGAUAGUUGAUUUAAAGUCCUUAAUAUGACACCCAAUAUGAAAUAUUAAGGCUAGGACCCAACAAACUAUUUUAUAACUUAGAAGAGGUAUGCCGUAAUCCAAGCUAUAAAAUAUUUGAAGGUAGGUGAAUGACGAUUCACCAAUUUCCACCAAGAUAAACGAAAUGUAUUAUUAGGUUUUAAUUGGUUUUGAAACUCCUAGAUCUUUGAGAUUCAUUGAACUUUUCAAAGGCAUGUUUCAAUCUCGAGUGUGCCCUUCAGGUUUUGUGACUGGGAUGCCGAGGAUCACAAAACAAGGUGUGAAGUAACCAUGCAAAUCACUUGGUACCCUUAAUAAAUUACCCCUCAAUCGAUGUGCCGGUUAACCACACACGCUCCAUCGAUACUAUGAUAAAUAUUAAGUCACCCUUUACCUACCUUGUUAAGUCCAAGUUAGUGUGCCGGUUAACCACACACGCUCCACUAACGACUUAGACAAAGUGUAAAGUGUAAUUUCAUGGAUUAGCACCUUAUUCACAUUUUUCCUAAGUAACUAAGAUUGGGUAUUAUUAAGAGUUUAGUUACUUAGUAUUAUCAUUAAUACUUUUAAUGAAGGGAGAAUUCUAGUCCUGUCAAACCCGUUCGGCUAACGACCCUCCACCAGUCAAGCAAGCGGUGGGUGAGAGUGGACACCCAUUAAGUUGCCAUUUUAUAGGCAACAACCUUAUACCCACCUUAUAGACCGGCUUCGUGAAUGAGGCGUACUAGCGGUAAGACUGACUUUACUCUUAUACAUAUAUAUAUUAUUAACUUAUAAUAUUAUAAAGUAUAAGGGUUGAAUUUUAACUUUUAAAAUUCUAAGGGCUAACUUGGAAUUAAAGUAUUCAUACUUGAAAACUUUUCAAAUUCCAAAACUUGAGGGCAAGUUUUGAAACUAUUCAAAACUAAUUAAUUCCAUAACUUAUGUGUUUAAAGUAGUUUUAAUCCAAAAACUCUUCAAGUUCCAUAACUUGAGGACAAGUUAUGGAAGACUUUAAACUAAUAAAAGAACUAACUUUUUCUUUAUUUUAUAACUUAUGGAUUUAAUUAUGGUUACAUAUUUUUCUUUAAUGAAGUGACUCUUGAACUUCCAUAACUUGAGGACAAGUUAUGGAGUCAAAAAAAAUUAUUCAAUGACACAAGACUCUUCAUUUUGUAACCAUUGCCAACUUUUAUGAGUUUUAUGAGUCUUUAAUGUGACUCUUCAUGUAACUUGAGGACAAGUUACACAAACACAUUUUAUACUCAACUCUUAGAUUAAAAUGGAUUGAAAACAACUAUUUCACUCAACAUUUCUAUUAAUCUAAGCAACUCAUAAGAACAAGAUAAUUCAAAUCAAACUUUUUCAUGUAAUUAGUCUAAACCUUAAACUAAUACAAAACAUGAAUCUAUUGACAAUUAUCUUUGAAAAUGGAUUAGCAUGAACAUUACCACAUCAAAAACAAGUUUAUAAGUUCAAAAACAACUUAGGGUAAUGUUCCUAGUCCAUUUCUAGCCAAAAAACUCGAAAAUAUGCUGUCUGGGGGUCCAACUCGUCGAGUGCAUGAACAAACUCGGCGAGUUGGAUCGAAUUCAUCACUUUUUAGGCAUGGACUCGUCGAGUCUCCUGAUGGACUCGCCGAGUCUGAUGGCCAGACAGCACCAGAUUCGUUUUUUCAGCUUCUAUUGCAGGUAUAACAAGAAAACAAGCCUAGGCUCUGAUACCACUGUUGGGUUUUGAGCAUUCUAACACUCCUAAGUGUACAUGCAACCCUAAAUACCUUGGAUCUAUGUUUUCUCUAUUAUACAUGCAAAUAAGAACUUCCAAGGUAUUAUCCUAAUCUAGCAUACAAAACAAUGACUAUAACAAGAUAGAAUACAUACCUCUUUGAUGUAGAAAGUCUUCAUGAAGCUUGAGUGCCUAGUGCCCCAAGUGUGACACCUCAAAUGGAAUCACAAUCAUCAAAACACUUGGAAUGACUUGAGAGAAUUCUACACUCUUCAAAAUCGGCUAGCCCUUUCUUCACUAUCACUAGUGGCCGAUUUUUCCUCAAUAAUAAGAUGCUUAUAUAGUUACACAAUUAGGGUAAACUCUUAAUUGUCAUGGCUUUCCAUUUCCUUGGAUCCAUGGGUACAAAUACACCAUGGAGCAUCCAUGGACCAUCCUAUGGGUUUUAGCCCAACUUGAUUAUCCAUGGAGCAUUAGCCCACUAUACAAGUAUGGAUGAUUUACACAAUCAACCCAUAUAUUUAAUUAGUCUUCUUUUGAUCACUUAAUUAAUCCUAGAUUAAUUCUUGAUCAAUACUAAUUAAAUAAUCUUAUUAUUCUUAUUAUUAAUAUACUAGAACUUAUAAUAUAUUAAUAACCAUAAGUGUCUUAUUUCUCUCAUUAUAGUCUAUCCAAGUGCAUGAUGGUAUGCAACCCAAAUGGACCAUGCCGGGUCGGGUCAAGUCUUACCAAUUAUAGUUAUGGACUUAGACAUUAAUCCAACAGUCUCCCACUUGGAUAAGUCUAAAACUAUUAUUGCGUAUGACUUCAGGAACCAACUGGCAAUCGUAGCUCUCAAAAGCUUCUGUCGAACUCUGACCUUGUAGAUGAACUCUGACCUUUGUCAAUGACUUGUCCAUUAGAUAAGGGAUCAUAUAUUCCUCCAUUCUAGAUAUCAUAUGGACUGAGACAUGGAUUAUAAUCAUUCUCUCUGUCCAUUUGUUGUUUCCCGAUUUCCGAUUUAUGACGACUGACUAAUUGAACAAAUCAAAUCAGUCCUGGCCCGGCCGAGCACUUCCAUUUGUCAUCAUCAAAUCAUCGAGGGGCCCACAGAUAUCGCUUUUAUCCCGAAGGUAAAAGGAAUGGAUAAACUUCGACUCAUAUGGCUUGUUCUACUACUUGUUGAAUCAUACACAAAGGCACGUUUUAUAGCACCGAGUUACCAAAUGCGUUUUCGUGCAAUCAAUGUACUAUCAACUCAUAGUAACAACUCAUAUCUCUAGGUUUGAAGAAUAUAAGAUAUUAUCGUCUCAUGAUCACUCGUGAUAAAAUCCAUGAAGUGAUUCCAAUGAGCGCGGGUUGAAUCCAAUACUCAGAACUUAUGAGCACUCAUGAGUGUUGUAGCCCUUUGUCCAACACCUUAGACCUCUACAAGCCAACCCAUGACAGUCUUAAUUCAUAUCUACUUCCAACAUAUGACCGACUGUGGAUGGUUUGAAUAACUUAGUCAUUCCGGAAGAAUAACCCAGUUUAUUCGGGAAGUCAAAACAUGCAAAAUGAAACACAAUAAUAAUUGAAUCCAAUAUGGUAUCAACCCUUUGAACAUAAAUAAAACACCUUUUAUUUAUCACCAUAUGAUUACACAUUAUUCAUUGUAUACUGUUUCAGCUAUCAACUUUAUUCUUGAAUUUAAAACAAUAGUUGUCCCAUGCUCCAAGCAUGUACACUAUGUUUUCUUAAACACUAGUCAUGCCACACACCAAGUAUGCAUACUAUGUUUGUCUAUGAUCUUUACUUUGUGAACUAGAUCAAUUGAACAUAACUUCAAUGAUUCUCUUUUCACACUCCCAAAUCCUUACUGCAAAUGCAAGAAUUCCAAAUUCAUGCCAUUUACUGAAAUCUGUUAGAUUCUAAACUUAUAUGCAUUGAUCCUCUUGUAAUGAUUAUGCACAAAGUCACAAAGACUUGGCAACAAUCAUUACAGAGUAUUCCAAAGGAGAUCAACUCCUUGGAAAUAUCCUUCUUGCAUUAAGUUUCCUUAAUCUUACACAGAUUGAAAAUUCUAACUUUGAAACAUUUCCAGAUUCCAUUUUGACUAUCACUUCUGAACAAGAGUUGCCUCCUUACAGAUUAUGUCAAUAUGGUCCUUCCAGAAUUAUCACUAUACUUCCAAUUGUCCUUGAGUAACCAAUCUUUGGUAAACCUUAGAUUGUCCUCGACAAUUGUUUAAUCCUUUUAGUCAUAUCCAGUUCUAAACCUUUUCCCUUCUUAAUGCCCCAGGCAUUUGGAAAAUUUUAGAACGGAUGAAUAUAGCACAUGUAAUCGAUCCUAUAUCCGAAGCAUAUGGGACACGAUUCAUGAUGUCUUACAUAAAGACUAAACCAGUCUUUUGCUAUAAUAUUUCCAUUUCAAUUUGCCAAGUUCUCAUAAUUCAGAUUAUGAAAAGGGAUGCCGUAAUCAUAAUCGAAUUUUAGAACGCAAAUAAUGGACCCAUAUACAGAAUUUCCUUAUGUUGAGCCAUUCCAACAUGAAAUUCAUAUAUAUCCUUGACUAAAUGAUUAAAACCUCACGAUCUAAGCUUAUAGAUUUGAGAUGAAGCAUAAUUUCCUCUCCCUUAAUUAUAGCAAAACAACUUUUUCCCAAUUGAAACUUUUGUUUUCUAUAAUUAACAUUGCUAACUUGCAAUACUUAUCAUAAUUAUCAUGCUCCCACUAACAUGAUGAUUAUUAGCAUAACACUUAUGCUCCCACUAGCUUUGACAUGUACUCAGAAAUCAGCUGGACAGUCUGAAAUUUAGAUUCAUACACCCUUUCCGUAGAUAGCUCACCUGUGUGUCUAAGCAAUUUCAAGAACCAUGAAAAGGGAUACCGUAAUCAUGGUCUCAAUUGCUUAGGCAUUUGCCAUUUCUCACAAGUCCAUGUUAGUGUGCCGGUUAACCACACGCGCUCCACUAACGACUUUUGAAAAUGCAAAUAACACAAUUGAUAUCUUCGUAAAAUCUACUUAGUGAAAGCGUUUCCUCACCAUCAUUUUCAUGAAUCGGAGAGAAACCUUAUGACACUUAGAUUUAUAUGGUGUAUGAGUUCCUACCCAUAUGAAUUUGUCAAACCAUAAUCACAAGACAAAGAUAAUGACAAAUCCAAAACCAUAUGGAUUGAACUCAAUCUUAACUUCUUGCCACCUGGCAGCUCAAGGGCCUGCCAUUGCUUCCAAGUUGUUGUGCAACAAAUUGAGAACUCUAAGAACUCAUAUGCAAAACCAACUUUAACUGGAAUGGGCACAGAAUAUGUCAACACGAUAGGUUAUGAACCUCAAGUCGUGUGCUAGUGAAGAACUUUAGGUUUUAUUCUUGAUUAUUUCUUGAGACUUUCAAGACCUUUAAGACUCCCACUGUCCUCUUGACAUAUAAGACUCCCUUGUCAAACAUCCAAGAGAUAGUGCGGAUUCUAAUCAAGAAAAACACUUUACCCAAUUGGCCUAAGUUGGUCUUUGUUUUAUCCAAAACAUCACAACUUACCAAUUUCAAAUGUACAAGAGUAGAAAACUUUUACUCUUACAUUUGACAAGUGUUUUAAACCUUCUUUAAGACAUGUCACUCAAAUGACAAUCUUGGAGUAUGACUCUAAGACUUGUAUUGGAACGAAGUAUGACUCAUCUUCUUGAUUUAACCAUUUCAACAAUUCAAGUUCCUCUUCUUAGUCAUAAGAAUGCACUAAGAUUUCCUUAGAGAACUAAUUUUGAUAUGGUUUCUUAAUCAUUAAGAUGAUCACAAAACUGAUACUAAAGUACUCUCCCAUCUUUUCAGAUUUGAGAAACUUUUAUCCUUCUGCCUUAUUUGAUUCUUCUUAUCGAUCUUUAGUGGUGGACUUAAUCAGUGCACAAGAAUGUGUACUCGAUCCCUAAGUCCUUUACUUGACUCACACAUCCAUGUGAACAAGUAAUUAGUCUUAAUUUUCCAAAACUUGAAAGUUCUCAUUCAUCAUGCUAUACAACUUGCAUGAUUCCAAGUUCCGGUCCAAUUGAAACUUGGGUGAUGAGAAUCUUUCCUUAUUUGGUAAAUUUAGACAUUACCACAAAUGAAAGAAUCAAUUUCAUACUUCCACUCUUGCUACUAAUGGAAUCUUAUAAGCAACAAAAAUUUCCACAGAUGCCAUUGUAAGGAUAUUUUAAAAUAAAUAAAAUCAAAAAUUUCCUUUUAUUUUAAAACUUUGCGGAAAAACUAUCCUUACAAUCCAUAUGAAAACUUGUUGUUAUCUAUUCCUAAGCAAUAUCUCAUAACUCCUAAGAAGUAGCUCAAGAAUCCGAUUUUUCAAACUAUGCGAUAGAAAUCCAUCUAUGCGAUCAGAUUCAGCAUAUUCUUCCUUUAAGUUUCUUCACUUUCCUUUGAUUCUUAAACCAUCACCAUGCGACCCGGUCACAUCAUGUAUCAAGAAUCUCAGAAUAGAAACUUAACAGAGUUAGAUAGUGGAUUUUACCUGAAGUAGAGUCAAACUUAUUGACUUUAACAUCCUUAGGUAAAUUUGGCAGCUUCGCAACCAAUGCCCUUUCUUUGGCAAUACAAACAUAUGGACCCUUUGAUAAUGGUACACAGGACUAUCACAGACUUAGCUUUUCUCUUUACCAUUUGGUCAACCGAGUUGACUAUAGCCGAUCCCUUUCCAUUGGGAAGAGAAUGCUUUACUGGAUAUCCAAUGUCAUCAUUGUCAAUGUCCAUAAAGUUUUAGGAAGUUGAUCUUAGCAAAUAGAUAAGAUCAUUAAGGGUCUUGUCAUAGUCUGUUUCAUAGGUGUCCCAAAGGAACUCACUAUGUGACUUAGAAAGUGGUUGAACCACCAACUUUCUCAAGACUUUGACACCCAACUCUCCCGGCUUGUCAAUAUGUGACUACAUCUCCAAGAUGUGACCACACCUAGACCUUGCCUUGCCAAUAGGGCCUGAGUGACCUUAAACUUUUCAAGAACUUGUGGGUUAGGGAGAAUAAUUUGAAGAGGUGAAGAAGUAUGAUAUCCAUGGGACAUCAUCUUCAUUAGGAAACCUUGUUUCAAGAGAUUUGGGAAGAUCAUAGGUGUCUAAACCAGACAUCUUUUGGGAGAUAUUCAAGAUAGUUGAUUUAAAGUCCUUAAUAUGACACCCAAUAUGAAAUAUUAAGGCUAGGACCCAACAAACUAUUUUAUAACUUAGAAGAGGUAUGCCGUAAUCCAAGCUAUAAAAUAUUUGAAGGUAGGUGAAUGACGAUUCACCAAUUUCCACCAAGAUAAACGAAAUGUAUUAUUAGGUUUUAAUUGGUUUUGAAACUCCUAGAUCUUUGAGAUUCAUUGAACUUUUCAAAGGCAUGUUUCAAUCUCGAGUGUGCCCUUCAGGUUUUGUGACUGGGAUGCCGAGGAUCACAAAACAAGGUGUGAAGUAACCAUGCAAAUCACUUGGUACCCUUAAUAAAUUACCCCUCAAUCGAUGUGCCGGUUAACCACACACGCUCCAUCGAUACUAUGAUAAAUAUUAAGUCACCCUUUACCUACCUUGUUAAGUCCAAGUUAGUGUGCCGGUUAACCACACACGCUCCACUAACGACUUAGACAAAGUGUAAAGUGUAAUUUCAUGGAUUAGCACCUUAUUCACAUUUUUCCUAAGUAACUAAGAUUGGGUAUUAUUAAGAGUUUAGUUACUUAGUAUUAUCAUUAAUACUUUUAAUGAAGGGAGAAUUCUAGUCCUGUCAAACCCGUUCGGCUAACGACCCUCCACCAGUCAAGCAAGCGGUGGGUGAGAGUGGACACCCAUUAAGUUGCCAUUUUAUAGGCAACAACCUUAUACCCACCUUAUAGACCGGCUUCGUGAAUGAGGCGUACUAGCGGUAAGACUGACUUUACUCUUAUACAUAUAUAUAUUAUUAACUUAUAAUAUUAUAAAGUAUAAGGGUUGAAUUUUAACUUUUAAAAUUCUAAGGGCUAACUUGGAAUUAAAGUAUUCAUAAGUGAAAACUUUACAAAUUCCAAAACUUGAGGGCAAGUUUUGAAACUAUUCAAAACUAAUUAAUUCCAUAACUUAUGUGUUUAAAGUAGUUUUAAUCCAAAAACUCUUCAAGUUCCAUAACUUGAGGACAAGUUAUGGAAGACUUUAAACUAAUAAAAGAAUUAACUUUUCUUUAUUUUAUAACUUAUGGAAUUAAUUAAGGUUACCCUUUUUUUUAUUUUAUUUUAUUUUAUUAAAUGAAGAGACUCUUGGUCCUCCAUAACUUGAGGACAAGUUAUGGAGUCAUAAAACCAUUUAAUUAGAACUAGACUCUUCAUUUUUGUAACCUUUGCCAAUUUUUAUGAGUUUUAUGAUUCUUAAAUGUGACUUUUCAUAUAACUUGAGGACAAGUUACAAAAACACAUUUUAGAAUCAAUUCUUAGAUUAAUUUGGAUUAAAACCAACUAUCACAUAAUUUUAUUCAUUAAUCUAAAUUCACUCAUAAAACAAGGUAACACAAAAAACUUUUGGUGAUCCAUAACUUAUUCUUAAGUUAUGGAAUCCUUUAAAACAUUAACACCAAAUUUUGUAACUCCAAAAAAACUUUGAAUUAAUUUUUUUUUUAAAACCUUUUCAUAUCCAUAACUUAUGGAGGUUUCAAAAAAUAAAACUCUUUAGAUCAAACUUUUAAAACUAAUAAAAUAAUCAUAUUAUUUUAUCUUUUAUUAAAUUUGACCUAAUUCAACUCAUAAAGCAAAUUAUUCAAAUUUUACAAAUAAUUAGUUUUUCACAAGAACAAGUAAUUAUCUUAAAAUUUGACAAACUUCAUUUUUUUUUUUUCAACUUUGAAAAUAAAAUAUUUGCAUCAAUAUAACAGAAAACAACCCGUGGCUCUGAUACCACUGUUGGGUUUUGAGCAUUCUAACACUUCCUAAGUGUACAUGCAACCCUAAAUACCUUGGAUCUAUGUUUUCUCUAUUAUACAUGCAAAUAAGAACUUCCAAGGUAUUAUCCUAAUCUAGCAUAUAAAACAAUGGAUAUAGUAGGAUAGAAUACAUACCUUUUUGGUGUAGUAAGUCUUCAUGAAGCUUGAGUGCUUAGUGCCCCAAGUGUGACACCUCAAAUGGAAUCACAAUCAUCAAAACACUUGGAAUGACUUGAGAGAAUUCUACACUCAUCAAAAUCGGCUAGCCCUUUCUUCACUAUCUCUAGUGGCCGAUUUUUCCUCAAUAAUAAGAUGCUUAUAUAGUUACACAAUUAGGGUAAACUCUUAAUUGUCAUGGCUUUCCAUUUCCUUGGAUCCAUGGGUACAAAUACACCAUGGAGCAUCCAUGGACCAUCCUAUGGGUUUUAGCCCAACUUGAUUAUCCAUGGAGCAUUAGCCCACUAUACAAGUAUGGAUGAUUUACACAAUCAACCCAUAUAUUUAAUUAGUCUUCUUUUGAUCACUUAAUUAAUCCUAGAUUAAUUCUUGAUCAAUACUAAUUAAAUAAUCUUAUUAUUCUUAUUAUUAAUAUACUAGAACUUAUAAUAUAUUAAUAACCAUAAGUGUCUUAUUUCUCUCAUUCAAGUGCAUGAUGGUAUGCAACCCAAAUGGACCAUGCCGGGUCGGGUCAAGUCUUACCAAAUAUAGUUAUGGACUUAGACAUUAAUCCAACAAUGGUAUCCUUCAAAAUCAGGAUUUUUCAUUCAAGAUGUAGCACCUGGUUCUUGGUGACUCAUUGGGAGCCUCGGCCGUUGAGGCUAUGACAUGGCCAGACUUUGUGACCCGGUUCAGAACGGAGUUCGCACCUGCAUUGGAGCUCUAGUAGUUAGCCAGGGAGUUUUUGGAUAUGAGACAGACUACGGAGACUGUGGCGGAAAUCACCGCCAAGUUCCGGGAGAGGGCGUUGCUGGUGCCCCAGUAUGCGGGAGAUGAGGAUAUGAGGAGGAAUCGUUAUCAUGACAUGUUGCGAGCCGACAUUCGGGAGCAUGUUAGUUUUUCAGCUUGCCCUACCCUGGAUUCCAUGAUUGCUAGGGCAAAGGAGAGGGAGAUCGAUCUGGAGCAUGUCCGGAAGAGGAAGGUAGAGGAGGGGCAGACGACUAGGGCUUCGGGGAAGAAGCCCAAAGGAUCAGAUGGUAGGCCGAAAGGCCAGUCAGGACCAGACCGCUGCAGGAAAUGCGGCAGGCCACAUGAGGGGGCGUGUAGAUUGGGAUCGUUGCGGUGCUACAAUUGCGGCAAGACGGGGCACUUCAGCAGGGAUUGUACCGCCCCUGCACCGGUUAUUCAGACGUCCGAGUUGCUGUGUUUCCACUGCAACCAGUGGGGCCACAAGAAGACCAAUUGCCCCCAGUUGACAGCAACAACGCCAGUGAAGGCGCCGACUCCAGUGACCCUGUGGAUUACUGAUGUCCAGCAGGUCAAGGCUGAGGCUCCAGUGGUGAGGAGUCGGGCCUUCCAAUUGACUACCGAGGAGGCACGCGCUGCACCCGGUGUGGUGACGGGUAUGACUUCUUAUUUAUGCUUUUAUGUUAAGCUGCUGUGAUUUUGAUAUGAUAUGUAUGUGCUCUGUUUAGGACCGACGGUUAGGUCAGCACCCCAGAAUGGCUUGACGUGGGUAGGUCAGCACCCCAGAAUGGCUUGACAUGGGUAGGACGACACCCUAGAAUGGCCGCAAGGGUAGGGCGGCACCCUAGAAUGGCCGUACCGGGUAGGUCGGGCACCCCAGAAUUGCCCGACAGUAUAUAUGCUAUGUGAUUGUAUGGUAUGUGGUACAAUGGGGGAACUCACUAAGCUUCGUGCUUACAUUUUACAGUUUUGGUUUCAGGUACCUCUUCAGCUAAGGGUAAGGAGUUGGCACGGUAGCGACACAUCAUACACACACUCUUUGUUUUCCGCAUGAUGGAUAUUCUGGGAUUGUACUCUAACAUGUUACUAAUUUUAUGACUUGGGUUUUCAGACAUGAUACAUUGUUUUAUGAGAUGAUUCGAUUUCACAAUACUUUAUUAUGAAUGUUUUUAUGAGUCAGCUAAUUAAAAUGAAAAUUUUGGACUUGAAAAUUGGGUCGUUACAAGUUGGUAUCAGAGCCCUGGUUUGAGGGAUUCGGACACACCCUUGGGAGUGUCUGGACUCAAAUCGAGGGAUUAAAAGAUUUUUACAAGAAAAAUGGUUUCCUAAAAGCUAAGAUAAAAGAUUUUUGGGAAAGAACAAAGUGUGUGAUGUGUGCAACCGGCCGAGCUCAAGUAAGUAUUCCCCAAAGUACCCAUACAAGUUUAUAUUAUGUUUAUCAGUUUCAGUAGAACAACAUGCUAGAAUAGGACUAAGGAUCUAGGAAUGAUGCCUUAUGUGUCUACUUUAUGUGCUUCAGAUUAUGAGAAUUGCAUGCUAGUAUUGAGUAGACAGUAAUAGGAUAGCCUGUUUAGAUUAUGCCUGGUAGUAUGAGCUCAACAUUAUAUGCUGGUACAGUUUCUCGUUAGGAGAAUAGAGUUGCUUGAGUAGUUUCUUGUGUCCGAAUGCUACUUGCUUCGUGCUUGUAGGGCUCUGAAUGAUGGGAGUUAGCCAUUAGGUGAGUACGUCGCGUCACAUGUGAUUAGGAUUGAAUAAUCUUAGAGUGCUGGAUAUGGUCCUAUUGCGCAGCUCUCGUUUGAGUCUAACCGUUGUAGGGACGAGUCUUUUACUUGAAGGAUUAUCUGAGCCCCGUCACAUGUGAUGGUAUUCAGGUGGUGGCUAAUUGGCAUCACAAGGAAGCCUUUAGCAGUUGAGGACCGGUUUGGGUGGAGUCAGAGGUUCCCUAAGGUAAGCCUAGGAUGAGAGUAGCAGAGAUCAGCAGUGGUAAAAGGGACUUGGUGGAGUCAAGGCAGUACUUGAGGAAAGUACGGAUAGAUGUGGAAGGUAGUAUGGGACUGUACUACAUAAAACAGAGGAUUCGUACUCAAAUUAAGGAAGGUUGAGGCAAGACCAAGGAACUUGUGAUGGGUGUGAUCCCUCUAGAUGUACCAGUAUCAUGGACGGUUGUCAUGAUGUAUUGUAGAAUGGUGGUACUACGUCCGAGGCUAGCUGUUGGCAGCUCAGGAUAGGGAUCGGGUUCAGGUUCAGGCUCCGAACCAGUGGAUGAGAGGCUACGCGAGUUCAUCGUGUCUGAGACAUCCUUGAUGCGACCCCGGUCAUCUUUGGGUCGAUCAAGAAAGGGAUUGUUUAGCUGAUGGAGGAUUGCCUUAGGGCGUUCAGGAGUGACAUGGCGACCAGCCAGUCAGGAUCCCGCACACUGUCCUUUAAGGACUUCAGGGUCAGUGGUGCAUCAGAUUUCCAUGGGGCGAAGGACCCCAUUGCUGCGAGACGAUGGAUUGCGGACAUUGAGUCAACGCAGUUGACCGGCUUCUGCCUCGAGGGGUUGAAGGUGAGAUAUGCAGCAGGGUGUUUGAGAGACAGGGCUAGAGAUUGGGGGCAGUCUAUUGGUGACUCAUUGGGAGCCUCGGCUGUUGAGGCUAUGACAUGGCCAGACUUUGUGACCCGGUUCAGAACGGAGUUCGCACCUGCAUUGGAUCUCUAGUAGUUAGCCAGGGAGUUUUUGGAUAUAAGACAGAGUAUGGAGAUUGUGGCGGAGAUCACCGCCAAGUUCCGGGAGAGGGCAUUGCUGGUGCCUCAGUAUGCGGGAGAUGAGGAUAUGAGGAGGACCCGCUAUCAUGACAUGUUGCAAGCCGACAUUCGGGAGCAUGCUAGUUUUUCAGCUUGCCCUACCGUGGAUUCCAUGAUUGCUAGGGCAAGGGAAAGGGAGAUCGAUCUGGAGCAUGUCCGGAAGAGGAAGGUAGAGGAGGGGCAGACGACCGGGGUUUCGGGGAAGAAGCCCAAGGGAUCAGAUGGUAGGCCGAAAGGCCAGUCAGGACCAGACCGCUGCAGGAAAUGCGGCAGGCCACAUGAGGGGGCGUGUAGAUUGGGAUCGUCGGGGUGCUACAAGUCCGGCAAGACGGGGCACUUCAGUAGGGAUUGUACCGCCCCUGCACCGGUUAUUCAGACGUCCGAGUUGCUGUGUUUCCACUGCAACCAGUGGGGCCACAAGAAGACCAACUGCCCCCAGUUGACAGCAGCAGCGCCAAUAAAGGCGCCGACUCCAGUGACCCUGUGGAUUACUGAUGUCCGGUAGGUCAAGGCUGAGGCUCUAGUGGUGAGGAGUCGGGCCUUCCAGUUGACUACCGAGGAGGCACGCGCUGCAUCCGGUGUGGUGACGGGUAUGACUUCUUAUUUAUGCUUUUAUGUUAAGCUGCUGUGAUUUUGAUAUGAUAUGUAUGUGCUCUGUUUAGGAUUGUUCCUGAGUCUUCGGGCAUGUUGGAUUUCCCUCUAGAGGUUGAGAUUGCGGACGACCGGUCAGUGCAAGAAUAUGAGGUCUUCCGAGAUUGUGUUUUGAGAUUGUUUGAGGCGUUACCUGGUAGACCUGGUUCCUAUUCCGUUGAGAGGGAACAAGGUGAUUAUAGGCAUUGAUUGGUUGAGCCCCAAUGGGGCAGUGAUAGAUUGCGCACAACAGUUGGUGCGAGUCAGGACCCCUGGAGGGGGAGAGUUAGUGAUUUAGGGCGAGAGGCCACAACGAGGGCCAACUUUAUGUUCGACAAUGAGGGCAAGGCGUUACAUUCAGCUGGGUUGCACAUGAUAUGUCGCUUAUGUCACGGAUACCCGGGAGGCGGGUGAGGUGACGGUGAGCAACGUUCCGGUGGUGCGAGACUACGCGGAUGUGUUCCAAGAGGAGCUUCCUGGGAUACCUCAGGAGCGACAAGUGGAGUUCAGGAUCGACCUAGUCCUUGGUGCGGCUCCGGUAGCCAAGGCACUGUAUCAGUUGGCUCCUCCUGAGAUGUAGGAUUUGUCUACACAGCUGCAGGAGCUGUUAGACAAGGGAUUCAUUAGACCGAGUAGUUCUCCCUAGGGAGCCUCGAUUAUGUUUGUGAAGAAGAAGGACGGGUCGCAUUGGAUGUGUAUAGAUUAUUGGGAGCUGAAUAAGGUAACGGUGAAGAACCGUUACCCACUCCCGCGAAUCGAUGAUCUCUUUGACCAGCUAAAGGGAGCAUCCUGGUUCUCUAAGAUUGAUCUGCAUUCAAGAUAUCAUUAGAUGAGGGUCAGAGAGGAGGAUGUACAGAAGACUGCGUUCUGGACGCGCUAUGGCCAAUACGAGUUCGUGGUGAUGCCCUUUGGGCUCACCAAUGCUCCUGCCGCGUUCAUGGACCUCAUGAACCGCGUGUGUAGACCGAUGUUAGACCAGUAUGUGAUAGUGUUUAUUGAUGAUAUCUUGGUUUACUCUAGUACGCAGGAGGAGCACGAGGAGCAUCUGCGAGAGGUUCUGGAGACUUUGAGAAGGGAGAACUUGUAUGCUAAGUUCUCCAAGUGUUAGUUCUGGUUGUGCGAGGUGCAGUUUCUCGAGCAUCUUUUCAACCAGAACGGGAUAUCGGUGGACCCAGCCAAAGUGGAGGUUGUGAUGAGAUGGGAGGUUCCGAGGUCUCCAUCUGAGAUUCGGAGUUUCCUAGGAUUAGCCGGCUACUAUUGGAGAUUCAUCCAGGAUUUCUCCAAGAUAGCCGUACCCCUGACCAGGCUAACAAGGAAAGUCGUGGUCUUUUUUGGGGGCCUGAGCAGCAGGCCGUAUUCGAGGCACUGAGACAGAGAUUGUGUGAGGCGCCCAUCUUAGCCCUGCCAGAGGGCAUGGAGGAUUUUGUUGUGUACUGCGAUGCGUCCAUAUCGGGUUUGGGAGCAGUACUGAUGUAGAGAGGGAAUGUCAUCACCUACGCUUCGAGGCAGCUGAAGCCUCAUGAGGCGAAUUACCCGACACAUGAUCUGGAGCUAGGGGUUGUUGUGUUCGCCCUCAAGAUUUGGCGUCAUUACCUCUAUGGGGUUUGUUGUACCAUCUACAUGGACCACAAGAGUUUGAGGUACCUCAUGGAUCAGCCGAAUCUAAACAUGAGGCAACGUCGGUGGUUGGAUGUGGUGAAGGAUUACAAUUGCGAGAUCCUUUACCACUCGGGGAAGGUCAAUGUGGUGGCCGAGGCACUUAGCCGCAAGGCAGCGCCUAUCAGGGAUAUCUGUCUGAGGAUGAUAGUGGUGACUCCACUGUUGGAGCAGAUUCGAGAGGCCCAACAGGAGGCCAUGAAGGAGGAACAUCGGAAGAGUGANGCCAGGUUUCCUCCUUCGAUUACGAUAGCCGAGGACUAUUGACCCUACACCGCAGGGUGUGGGUGCUGUACCACGGGGGUGUGCACCGGGUUCUGAUGGAGGAGGCGCACAAAUAUCGAUUCUCCAUUCAUCCUGGGGCGACGAAGAUUUAUAGGGAUCUUCGUCUGGACUAUUGGUGGCCCUGCAUGAAGCGGGAUGUAGCAUGGUACGUGGAGCGGUGCUUGACCUGUAGGAAGGUCAAGGCCGAGCGCCAGAGGCCACACGACAAUAUGUAGCCGUUGGAUAUCCCGCUGUGGAAAUGGGAAGACAUUAAAAUGGAUUUUAUCUUAAAGCUUCCCAGGACCGCACGAGGAGUGGAUUCGAUUUGGGUCAUCGUCGAUCGAUUGACCAAGAGCGCCCAUUUUAUCCUGAUUCAGGAAAGUAUUUCGGCCGAAAGGUUGGCCGAUAUCUAUAUCAGGGAGGUAGUGGCGUGGCACGGGGUGCCAGUUUCGGUGAUUUCAGAUAGGGAUGUGCGGUUCACUUCCAGGUUUUUGAAGAAGUUUCAUGACGAGCUGGGUACUCGUCUGCAUUUUAGCACCGCCUUUCACCCGCAGACGGAUGGUCAGAGUGAGUGGACCAUCCAGAUUCUGGAGGAUAUGCUGCGAGCAUGCAUGUUAGACUUCGGAGGUAGUUGGGAUACCUACCUUCCAUUGGCAGAGCUCUCCUAUAACAAUAGUUAUCAUGCGAGCAUUGACCACCCUCCCUUCGAGAUGAUGUAUGGGAGGAGGUGCAGGACCCCGAUAUGUUGGGGCGAGGUUGGACAGAGGGUAAUGGGGAGCACCGAAGUAUUGCUCAAGACGACAGAAAGGAUUCAGCAGGUCCGGAGCAGGCUUCAGACUGCUCAGAGUCGGCAGAAAAGGUAUGCUGAUAAGCGCCGAUCAGACCUGGAGUUCCAGGUCGGGGAUAUGGUUCUCCUGAAGGUGUCGCCAUGGAAGGGCGUCAUCCGAUUUAGGAAACGGGGCAAGUUGGGCCCUAGAUACAUUGGACCGUUCAGGGUCUUAGCCCGGGUAGGCAAGGCGGUGUACUGGUUGGAUCUGCCAGCCAAACUCAACCAGAUCCACAACACUUUCCACGUCUCCCAGCUACGGAAGUGCCUGGUGGACGACUCAGCAGUGGUACCCUUAGAGGAUAUUCAGGUCGAUGACAGCCUGAAUUACAUCGAGCGACCUAUGGCAAUCCUCGAAUGGAAGUCGAAGGAUAUGAGGAACAAGAUGGUGGAGCUCGUGAAGGUGCAAUGGUAGCACCAGAAAGGCUCGGAAUGGACCUGGGAGCCGGUGGAUGAGAUGAUGGAGCAUUACACAGAGCUAUUCCAGGAACGAGCAGCAGACUUCGAGGACGAAGUCUAAAAUAAGUGGAGGAGAUUUGUAGCACCUGGUUCUUGGCAUGUAUUUUUAUUUAAGUAUUUUGCAUUUUUGACCUGGGACUUGGCGAGUUGAAGGACCAACUCGCCGAGUAAAAGCGGGAUGGGACGCGGGAUUUAAGUGAUGGACUCAUCGAGUCGGGUCCCAGACUUGACGAGUAGGCUCUGACUGGACAAAACCCUAAUCUGAGGGUUUGCACCCUAUUUAAUCAUCUCUUUCAGCCACCACUUGUCCCUAUUGCUCCCAGAAACCCUCCAUAGCAAACCCUAAGUGUUUUGGUGCAAGAUCUAAGGCUUUUGAGUGAUUUUUGUAGGUUUUGACCUCAAGGAAGAAGGAAGAGCAUAGAAGGAUCAAGAGGAGACUGAAGGAUUCGAUUUUGGUUCAUCAUUUGUAGUCUUUGAAAGUUAUAAAGUCUGUACCUUGCUUGGUUGUUUGUUAGAUCCCUUUUUGGGGAAGAUUUAGGGCUUUUUAAGCCAUAUGAGGUAGCCAACCAUGAUUGCAAACAUGGUUGGGGGUCAAGACUUCGGAUCUAAGUCUUGGGAGGAGUCAUAAGGCAGAUUUCGGUUGCUUUUGCACCCAAGGAAGGUCCCAUGCAACAUAAGAGCCAUUUUAGAGCCUUUUGGGCUCAAAAGUCCCAUGCAUGCACGUAAAGUUCGAAACUUUACAUGCUAGAUCGAGCUUAGGGGCUUGGAUCUAUCGUUUGGUCAAAGGUUAUACAUCAGAAAUCGAACAUUUAGGGUGUGGACGUUAUUGACUCGGUGAGUCCGUUCUUGGGACUUGACGAGUCCAAGGCAUAAAGUCCCAUAUCUGUUGAGGGUCAAAAGAACUCAGUUGGGCGUUAGAAGGGUUGUAGAAGGUCUGAAGGAGUGACCCAAUUUAUUGGACUUAGCCUUAGACCUGGAUUUCAUGGGAUUCGACGAGUGCUAGAACAGACUCGACGAGUCCAAGGCAAUCUCCUUAUGGUUGAAGAUGAACUCGACGAGUUGUUCAUACAACUCGGCGAGUCAAGGUCAGAACUUGUUCAUCAGAUGAAGGUGAACUCGACGAGUUGUUCGUACAACUCGGCGCGUCGGAUGAAGGUUCAUUCGAUGUUCAUAUAGAGGAGGAACUCGUCAAGUCGUUUCCAAACUCGACGAGUCGAGUUGUGGAUAUGGACGGGUAAAGGGUUAGGGACUCGACGAGUUAACAGCCCAACUCGGCGAGUCGGGUCAACUGGCAGUUGACUUUGACUUGGACUUGGUUGGGGGUAAAAUAGUCAUUUUACCACAAGAGUAGAUAUCAGUUUCUGAUUGAGUGUUUUGUGGGGAUUAUAGCCGGAGGAUUUCCGGAGCAGCAGCAGACAGAGGUUUCCGGCACAGAUUAUCAGCAGCUACUCGUUCGAGGUGAGUUACCUUCCAGUAGCGGUGGGUCUACGGCCAUAAUGCCGGCCCACCAGUAAGAGUUGUGUGAUUAGAUGAUUGUCUUUGUGAUAUCAUCUAGGUUUGCUACUACCUGAUAUGUUAUAUGCUGGCAUGAUAUGUUAUAUGUGAUAGUAGUAGAGUUCGGUUGUUAGGACCGAAGGGUAGGUCAGACACCCCAGAUAUGUCUGACAGUAUGUGAUGAUAUGUUUAUAUGCUGGCAUGAUAUGUUAUAUGUGAUAGUGGUAGUAGGAGGGGAAUAGUCCUCAAGUUCGGUUGUUAGGACCGAAGGGUAGUUCGGACACUCCAGAUAUGUCUGAUAGUAUCUUUAUGUUACAAUAUAUGUGAUAGUAGUAGUGUGGGGUGGAAUAGUCCCCGAAGGUCGGUUGUUAGGACCGACGGGUAGGUCAGCACCCCAUAAUGGCUUGACAUGGGUAGGUCAGCACCCUAGAAUGGCUUGACAUGGGUAGGACGGCACCCCAGAAUGGCCGCAAGGGUAGGUCGGCACCCCAGAAUGGCCGUACCGGGUAGGUCGAGCACCCUAGAAUUGCCCGACAGUAUGUAUGCUAUGUGAUUGUAUGGUACGUGGUACGAUGGGGGAACUCACUAAGCUUCGUGCUUACAGUUUACAGUUUUGGUUUCAGGUACCUCUUCAGCUAAGGGGAAGGAGUUGGCACGGUAGCAGCACAUCAUACACACACUCUUUGUUUUCCGCAUGAUGGAUAUUCUGGGAUUGUACUCUGACAUGUUACUAAUUUUAUGACUUGGGUUUUCAGACAUGAUACAUUGUUUUAUGAGAUGAUGUGAUUUCACGGUAUUUUCUUAUGAAUGUUUUUAUGAGUCAGCUAAUUAAAAUGAAAUUUUUGGACUUGAAAAUUAGGUCGUUACACAAACUUUUUCGGAUUCAGAUAUGGGAGGAUGUACUCUUUAUAGGAAAAGUACAAGUGGCGGAUGUGAGUUAUUGGAUGGGAAACUUGUAAGUUGACAAUCGAAAAAGAAAACAUGUGUUGCAAUUUCAACUGCUGAAGCUGAGUAUGUUACAGCUGCCGCUUGCACUUCGCAAAUCAUAUGGAUCCAGAGCCAAUUGCGUGAUUAUGCAAUUAACAUGAAGAAGAUUCCAUUGUAUUGUGAUUCACAAAGUGCUAUACGCAUUUGUCAUAAUCCAAUACAACAUUCGAAAACUAAACACAUUGCACUUCGUUAUCAUUUUAUUAAGGAUCAUGUGGAAGAUGGAAAUAUUGUAGUUCAUUUUGUGAAAACAACUGAUCAGCUUGCUGAUAUUUUCACAAAACAAUUGGAUGAAAAAUCAUUUGUUAGAAUUUUGACAGGAUUGGGCAUGAUUGAAUCAAGUUAUGUUCCAGGACUAAUUUCGAAAGAAUGACAAAGAAGGAAGUUGCCAAAGUGUCGAUUCAGAGACAAUGCAGAAUGAUUCAGAGUCUUAUAGUAUUAAUCAUUCAGAGGUUACUGGUCAUGUUAAGCGCUUCGACACACUUCGUUUUCGUAAAUUGGAGUUGAAAAUUUUCGUUAGUUUGGUACAUUCUUAAAAUUUUCGUUAGUUUGUCUUUAUUUUCGAAAAAUUGAAAAACACAAAAAUAUUUUCAUUUGUUUGUAUUUCUUGUCGAAAAAAAAUAUCAAAAAGAUUUUAUUUUGUUAUUUGUUUUAAUUUUAGAAAAACAUAAAAUCACAAAAAUAUUUUUCUUUCUUUUCAAAAAUAUAAAAUCCAAAAAGAUUGUUGUUUCUUUGAUCUUUCUUAAGUGCAGGUUCUCACGAAUAUUUUUGAGGGUCAUGCUUGCUUUUCUAAGGGAAGGUAUGUUUUCAAAAUUUCAUUGUACUAGUUAAGUUGUCCCUAGAAGCAUGCUGCAACAUGUAGACCCAAGCCUCCAGUGACUCAAUGUGUGAUUUAGAAAGCCUUAAUGAAAUUUUUUGUUCCGAAAGUUUCUUCCCAAUAAGGCUUGCAUUCACAUUAGUCAACUGAGCUACCUUACUCUUCUCAAAUGAGAUAAGAGUUUACUGUUUGGUCCAUUCAUAACAAAGGUCAAUCGAUUCUUGAAUCAUUUUUUUAUCUUAAAUUUCUGUCACUUUUCACACACAAUGACGUAUGUCCAAGAGGUCAUUGAACAAUCCAAUCAUGACUUAGACAUAUCAAAACUCUGUGUUAAUGAUCUUGAUUCAUGAGGCCAUGAUGAAAGUGAAACCCAAUUUUCUAACAAAUUAAGGAAUUGACGAGGAACUAUGUUCCAGAUUUUCACGAAACAUUUGUUUCAAUACCAAAAAUUUUGAUACUCUAAAUCAUAUUCUUUGUUUUGAGUGGUCUUGAUCAAAUGUUCGAAGCCUACGACAUUUGUUUCCCAAUAGGAUCCAGUUACAAAAUUUAUUUUCUGCAUAUGAUCUCCAUGUGAGUAUCAAUUCUUAACCUUUGUCACUUUCAAAUAUUUUCCAAAGCAUACUUGUCACUGACUGCACUGGUCAAACAAGUAAUUUCUGUUGCAAUUAUUCACCUUAUGUUAAGGAUGAAAUGUAACGAACUUUUUGAGCUACCCACGAAGCCUUGAAAAAGAAGCCCUUUGAUACUUAUCUAUAAGUUUUCAAUUGUAAUUCAUGGGAAACCACACAAGCAAUUGAUUAUCUCUCUUGAUAAUUAACGAAGUAACCUUUUCCUGGGGUUUAACAACUUUCGUGUUAAAAUUUUAUUUUUGACAUCACAGAUCCAAAUUUUUCGUUAAAAUUGAUUCUUAUCUUAUUUCAUUGGCACAUUGCACUCACGAAAUCCUUGAGGUUACGAGUAAUACCAACUCAGGCUGAAGAUUUCACAAGACUGGAAAAUGAAUUCGUUUCUAAGCCCAAAAACGAAAGAGGCUAACCUCCAUGCCGAAGUUUUUCGAUCUUAUCCACUUGGUACUCAUGUACAGUUUUGAUGUAACCAUUUGGCAACUUGUUCUGAGUUUCAAGGUAUUUUAUAUGACAUGGCGUGUAUAACGGCCAGUGGUGCAAUUUUCAAGGAAGGAUGUGGCAAACUCAUUAAUGAAAUCAUUUACAAUUCUUUUGGGGUUACAUAUAAAAGGAAAUUAUUUUUCCUUUGAUCAUUACGCUUUCAAAAACUCUCAGACGAACAAAAGCCCUAAUUCUCAAUUUCUCCAAAUUCUCUUCAAGAUUUCAACAAUGGCUGCUACCCAAAACACCUCUACUGACAAAGUUCUUUCACAACCAAUCAUGAAGAUCCAAACUACUAAUUACCAGGUUGAGGGUGAUAUUUCACUAUACCCUGAGGAGUUGAAGAUGUUGAUAGUUGCUCUUCAAAAUUCUGGUCUUGCUACUGUUUUGUUCGACUAUUUCGCAACUCCGAUAACAUGGUUAUCCAUGGAUGCUUCAACUGCUUCCUACAACAAGGCUACAUAUGUGAUUACUUUUAAUCUUGUGAAUGAGAAAUGGAUUCGUCUGACCAAGAAGAUGUUCACUAAGUUCUUGAAUAUCCCCAAUUCUCUACCAUUCUUCAAACCAAAUAAUCAUCAUAUCAUGUUUAUGUUCAACGAGAUGGGACAUCAGACCCUACUCACAAAAAUCAUUGAUUUCAAGAAGUCCGGAUUACCAUGUAUAUGGAAUUUCUUCUUUGGCAUUUAUCUUCGGUGGCUAACUGGAAAAAGUGUUAGUCUCGACAAAGGAAGACUUGAAGUCUACGCAAUGGUGAUAGGAUUAUACUACGAUCUCAGUGUUGACUAUGCAACUAAAUUAUGGACGGAGUUUGUGAAAAGCCUGGAGAAUACUAAUAUGGUGAAGGGAAUCUCCUGUGCGAGGUAUUGGAGUCUCAUUCUUGAGAAAAUUUACGAAAAAGAGGGAAUUCAAGUUCCUGAUUGUAACGCCUGUAGAUCAGGGCUAGUCAAUUUAGAGACGAUAAACAUCAAAAAUAACUUUUUGAUGGAAGAUUAUCUAGAAGGAUUAAUCUUAAUUAAGUUGUAGUAUAUGUUACAAGGAUUCCAUACAUAUAAAGAACUCCGAAAUCCGAGUUAUAACGAAGAAGUUAUGACCCGUCGAAGUUUCGCGACAGAAUCAUCAUGACACAGCGCGACAUAAAUAGUGAAUUUACGUUUGAGCGAUAUUUGGCCUUAUCAAUCUAAAUGAAAGUCGUAGAAUACGUUAAACCGAGAGCGUGCGUAAAAAGAAUGCCCAAAUCUGACUUUGUAUGAGGAAGUUAUGAUUUUUCUAAGUUUCAGCUUAGCAGUAUGUAGCCCAAAGUUCGACUUUGAGAUCGAGCGGUUUUUAGCCGAAACAAUCUAAACGAGAAUUGAAGAUCUCAUCAAUGGCAGUUCAACGGUAAAUAGACAGAUGAAAACGGACGUCGGAUGAAGAAGUUAUGAAUUUAUAACGGAGUUUUCAUGUCCCGGCUUACUAAAAAUAAUAUAUUUAUAAUAUAUUAAAAAUAAAGUCAAAAUUAGCCAAUGGAGUCUAAAGGAGAGUUGUAGAGCAUAAUCUCACCUACGCGUGGAUAUAAAGAAUGUCAAAAACGAAGCUCGUAUGCGAAAGUUAUGAAUUUUUGAAGUUCGGGGCGUGAACCCCAAGGCUGUGUCAAAGCUCAUGAGGUGAACAUAUGUAGUUCAUGAGGUGAGCCUAGCUCACGAGGUGAGAAUUAGUGGCUCACGAGGUGAACAUAUGAUGGAUCUCUUCCAGGGCAAGUGGUCAUGACGAACGCAAUGACGUAUCGAGCUCACGAGGUGAGUAUAUGUAGCUCACGAGGUGAACAUUAGAAACUCACGAGGUGAACCCAAGAAAUUCACCCUAUAAAUUGAAUUCAAGGGGCAGCUGAGUUUGGUUGCUCAUAUCUUACUCUCCCAUUCCCGAUACUCUUUCUACUCCCUAUUUUAACCACCCGAAGCCCCGAUAUCAUUCCCGAGCCCCAAAGCAAGUCCUUAAGCCCUGAAGAUCCAGAGGAGUAAAGUUUCCGAGCCGAAGCUCUCCCCGCGAGAAGCCAAUUUUUGUGAAUAUCUUCCAGAUCUACCGAAGAAUACUACUUCUACAAGUCGUAACGCUGUCCGAUCAUCUUCUGAUCAAGUGAGUGUAUAGUCACUUUCUUCUUACACAUAAAUAUUAAGUCUUUGCUAUGAAAUACGUGUUAUGUGUGUAUAUAUUUGUUGUUUAUUUGAGAUAAUUGUGGAAUGGAUAAAUUAUAUAGGUUUUAAUGAGUUAAACAGUAUACGUAUUUUGUAUCUACGAAUAUGUUGGGUAGAGCAUGGGUAGAUGAGAUUGUUGGUAUGGGAUAAAAGAUGAUUUGGAUCAUAAGAUAAAAGGAUAAAGAGAUAAACUUGUUAUAGAUUCAGGAGUAUGGAUUAGAUCAAGAGGUUAGUUUUAGAUUUAGGAAUAUAGAUUAGGUAAUGAGGUAAAUUUUAGAUCUGGGAGUACGGAUUAUGUAUUUUUGAACUAAGUGUUCAUCCGAUAGGGUAUCAUGUGCAUAGUCCCUUUCAUGGACAUAAUUGUAAUAAAAGUAUUGAUUAAAGUAUUAAUUAUAUAUGUAUGUGAAGUAUUUGUUAUUGCCCGAAAUACGUGUUAUAUAUAUAAUUGAUAAUAUACAGCGUACAAACCAGUUAUGGUCCAAUAUGUGUUAAGAUGUGUAUAUAUGAUAUUAUUGCUUAAAACUUUGUGUUAAGUAUACUCAUAGUUAGCGUGUCCAAAUGGAGAUAGUAUCGAAAAUUGAUUAUAGGCAUCGUAGGCUUUCCUAGUGAUGGGUUAAGGCUUAAAUAGGGAUGUUUAGUUCCAUUAAGUUUGGACAUUGGAUAGCCUCUUAUUAAGAGUACGUGUGUUGCGAGAUUGAUGAUUGGUGGAGUACGUCCUACGUACAAAAGUACAUUUUAUGUACGAAGUCCUUUUCAAAGCUCUGUGUCUUGGGUGCUGCUUGUGCCAAGGUACUAUUAUGUUCUCGGGUAUGAGUCUUUCGCAUAACAGAGUACUAUAAUGUGCCAGAAGUACUAUCAUGUACAAAGUCUUUUUGACAAUUUUGUGUGUCAGUUACAGGGGCGUACGGGAAUACUCUAUUAGUAUUUUCCCAUACUUUUAUUUUCAGAGAGCUUUGGAGUCAGCGUUUCUUUUAUGAAGUGAUCGACUGAGCUUCAUAUGUCAGCGUUUUCUUUCACGAAGUAAUUAAGGGAACUUCAUAGACUUCCUAAUAAAGUGUGUUGGUAAUAGACCACUUCUAGGUAUGUCUGGUGUUAUAUUGCUGGAUAGGGUGCGUCUGGGGGUGAAAUACCUCAUGUAUUUAGACCACAGCCUAGGCAUUAGUCGGUGUUUCCAUUUCCGAUGCCGGAUAGGGUGAGUCUGGGGGUUCAGACCACAGCCUAGGCUUUAGUCAGCGUUUCCAUUGCUGGAUAGGGUGCGUCUGGGGGUUAUAUACCUCACGAUAUUCAGACCACAGCCUAGGCAUUGAUAACUUACCAUGACUUAACUGUCUUGUGGUUCUUUCUUUUACGAACGAAGGUUCGUGGUGAAAGUUAUUCCAUUCCCCUCAAUUGAAGUCUUUAUUGAUCCACGUUUGCUGCCAUGGAAUUUCCUAAGCAACUUCGUCAGUUUGUGGUUCAUAUCGAUUCCUUAGGCUAGAUCACGUAAGAUCAUUGUAUAGGGUCAGUAUGUGGGGAUCGACGGGAUGGGAUAUAUUGUUUUAGAAAUAUGAUUUAUAUGUGUUUAUAAUAUUAGUGGUUUUGCAGGAUCGAGAUAUACUUUAUUAUCACAUUGUUUGACUAAGAGCUUUCCUACUCUAUGUUCCUUAGGUGAUUGGGUUCACCAGGGAUAUUCGAACUAAGUGUUCAUUAGAUAUCUGAACUUAGUAUUCAUCAGGGAUAUUUGAACUAAGUGUUUGUGAACUAGGUGCUCAUUGGGUAAUAUUAGAGCUAAGUGUUCAUUAGGUGUUCUUGAACUAGGUGUUCAUUAAUUAUUGUGAACUGCGUGUUCACCAGAGGUAAUCUAAGAACCUUGGCAGCACUGGACUUUGUGCCAGUUCCUUAGGGAAAUCCUUAGGAAUGAAUGGGAGAAGGGUAAUCGGAUCUUAGGAUAAAUCUUUAAUAAAUAAGUAGAGAUAAUGGGGGUGGGUAAUUGGAUUGAUUGUUUGAUAAUUGAAUAUAAUAAUUAUAUUAUUGUGGGUUGAAAACCCUAUAUGCUCACCAGGCUCCCAUGCCUGACCCUUUCAGUUUUCUUUAUAUUACAAGUUAUGGUACGAGAGCAUAAAUUGGCUGACAUAAUGAGAGAUUUUGGAUUAUAAGCCAGUAGUUAUGAAUAACUAUUGUAAGGUCUAUUUUUGUUCUGUUUAUGCUUAUGGUCUGUAUUGAACAUGACAUCCCGAGAUUUUGUUAUAUAAUGAAAAUACAUUUAUUUAAAGAAAUGCUUUGAUAAAUUCUUAUCAUAUUUUGUUUUGGGAACAAAUUCUGCAACUGUUUUCUUUAAAAGAUUAUUCUGAUUUUAAAAAUAAAGCAUAAACAAAUCGGUCUCUUCUGGCUGUGAAAUUGUGGAUGUCACACUGAUAAUGAAGAAAAGGUGGACUUUACAAAGUAUCACUUUCCAAAGUCAGUCGAGGAUGAUUCGAAAAUUUUCCAUACAAUUGCCAGAAUUCCAGAUGACAUGUUGAAGAAGGUUGAUCCAACAAAUAAAGUGUUUGUAAACUAUUUGAAGACCAUCAAACCUGAUGUCGAAACUGGGGUGUUACUUGAAGUUGAUGCAGGGUCUUCAAAACAAUCAAAGAAAUCGAAAAAGAGUGAUGGUGUUGCUCUUGUUUCUGAAAGCCAUAAAAGGCUAACUUUCCAAAGAAAAAUGAUACUGAUAAAGUAAAGGACUUGAAGAAAGAUGUGAUAGAGAAGGCAUUGAUUAUUGCUGAAUCAUCGAAGGAAUUAGUAACUUCAAAAUUCGGUGUUUUGAAAAGAUUGAGGAAGUCAUCUAAUGAUUCAUCUUCAAUCAUACGAAAGGCUCAGUUAAAUCGAAAAGGGAUAAAGAAUCGUAAAAUACCAGCUCCUGUCUCUCCAAAGUCGAAAAAGAGAAGAGCUGAUGAUGUAGCAAAGCAUAUUUGCAUGAAGAGCAAGAAACGAAAAUUGUUGUUUCAUGACGAGUCAUUAGAAAGCGAGAUUGUACCAGAUACUCCUUUGGGAUCAACUUCUCCAAAGGCAUCUACUCCCAUCAUUUCUUCGUUAGCUUCACCAACCAUCACCAUUUUCACCACUAUUUAUAUUCCACUCGAAAUUGGUGUUACCAAGUCAGUUUCUGAGGAGGUACCCAUUUCUGACUUUCGUACAAACGUAUCUAAUACGGGUAUCGGAGUCAUUAUGAGUGUUGACAAUACGAAUCUUGUUUUUGAAGCUAUUCCUCUUAUCACUUCCUCUAUAGUUUCUUCGACUAUAGAUACUUCCUUACCUCCUUUCUGUUGGAUUAAUGUUUAAGUCCAUAACUAUAUUUGGUAUGUACUUGACCCGACCCGGCAUGGUCCAUUUGGGUUGCACUUCACCGACACAAUUUAUAUGGAUAGUCUUUUGAGAAUAGUAUAUUUAUGAUUAAUAUUAAUAUAUUAUAAGUUCUAAUAUAUUAAUAUGGAAUCAUAUUAUUUAAUUAGUAUUGAUCAAGAAUUAAUUUAGAAUUAAUUAAGUGAUCAAAAGUAACUAAUUAAAUAUGGACUCUUCUAUAUAGAAGAAUGGGCCAAGUUCAUUUAGGUUGGGCUAAGCUUUUAUGGAUAGUCCAUGGAGCUUUAAACCCAUUGAUACUAUGUAAAUGAAAGGUCAUGGGUAUUAGGGUUUACAUGGAUGUAACCCUAAUCCUUCAUAAUAUAUAAAGGGGUCCUUGGUUCACAAAAUUGGAACAAGUGUGUGAAAAUAAGAGUGGGCCAAUUUUAGUGUGCAUACAUAUUCUCUCAAGUUCUUCCAAGGUGUUUUGGUGAUUUGUGAUUCCAUUUGAGGCUUCCACACUAUUGGGGCUAAGCUCUUAAAGCUUGAAGACAUCAAGCUACAUCAAAAGGUAUGUCAUCUAACUAGAACUUUGUAGUAUAGGUGCUUCAUAAUAUGCUAGUUAGGAUGAAACCUUGGAAUAGUUAAUAUUUGCAUGUAUAAUAGAGAAAACAUAGAUCCAAGGUUUAUAGGGUUUCAUGUACACCAUAGGACUGUUAGAAUGCUCAAACCCCAAUAAUGGUAUCAGAGCCAUGGGUUGUUUUCUGUUAUAUUGAUGCAAAUGUUUUAUUUUCAAUGUUGGAAAAAAAGGAAAAAAAAGAUGACGUUNAUGACGUUUGUCAAAUUUUAAGAUAAUUACUUGUUUUUGUGAAAAACUAAUUAUUAGUAAAAUUUGAAUCAUUUGCUAUAUGAGUUGAAUUAGGUCAAAUUUAGUAAAAGAUAAAAUGAUAUGAUUAUUUUAUUAGUUGUAAAAGUUUGAUCUAAAGAGUUUUUUGAAACCUCCAUAAGUUAUGGGUAUUAAAAGGUUUAAAAAAAA
rnacentral:lncRNA from 1 species